AACGAACGCUGGCGGCGUGCCUAACACAUGCAAGUCGAGCGAGAAAGUUCCUUCGGGAGCGAGUAAAGCGGCGCACGGGUGAGUAACACGUAGGUAACCUGCCCCAUAGUCUGGAACAACUAGAGGAAACUCUAGCUAAUGCCGGAUAAGACCACGGUUCCCUCGGGAACUGCGGCCAAAGAUGGCCUCUGUUUACAUGCUAUCGCUGAGGGAUGGGCCUGCGGGCCAUAGCUUGUUGGUGAGGUAACGGCUCACCAAGGCUGUGAUGGCUAGCUGGUCUGAGAGGAUGACCAGCCACACUGGGACUGAGACACGGCCCAGACUCCUACGGGAGGCAGCAGUGGGGAAUAUUGCGCAAUGGGCGAAAGCCUGACGCAGCGACGCCGCGUGGGUGAU
rnacentral:rRNA from 1 species